CCGCCGCUGUGCAAUUAGAGAUAAUUACACCCUUCCAGCUGUAUUUCAACCCCGAAUUAAUAUUUAAACACUUUCAAGUAUGGCGGUUAAUCACCAACU